UGGCUGAGUGGUAAAGCGCUUGUCUUCCGAAACGAGCUCCCAGGUUCAAAUCCUGG
rnacentral:tRNA from 1 species